UUUCAGGAUAGUCACUACUUAUCACAGCCACAAAUUCAGAAUUAUGUCUAACCCCGCCUAUUUCUACAAUUUAGCUUCUUAAAAUAUGAUUUGAAACCUUAACCAUACUGCUAACCGUAUUCCUAACCCUAGCCUUAAAUGAAUACCAAAAAGCAACAUUUUGUUUUCAUACAUUUUUACGUUAAAUCCAAUUCUGACUUUGUGACUGUAGUAAGUAGUGACAACCAUCUUUCGGCUGCAAUGGCGUUUGCUGCGACAGCACUUUCCGGCAGCGGGGAAACCGAGGAGAAAGCAACGACAGGCGUUGGAAGUAAAGACGAAAUUGUUUCGGAAACCCUCGGAUUUAUACAAUUAUCGCCAAAGUGAAGUGAGCUUUGUUUAUAAACCCGUUGACGAAACUAUAUUUCGAGGUUUUUUUCUAACGUACAUUGCCCCCUUGAUGAGGUGGGAUGGCUGCAGUGCCGACUGGGCCUAGCAGCGCAUUGCCAGCAUCCCCGGCUGAAAUUUCUCCCUUCCCCGGGGAUGGGAGCGUGGAACCUGGGGAAGGGGAGCAGCCCGGCUGCGGUUGGGAGGGCUCUGUAACACGACAGGAGCAGCGGAUCAGCGAGGACAAACGGACAAGUAAGAAAAAACUGAAAAACAUGCUAUCGCAUGCUAACCCGACUGCGCUACACCUCAAAUCGCAGGCCCUACAGGAACAGCAGCUGAACGGGUUGGUCAGUCCGUCUGAAGACGGUGAGAUCUACAACCACACAACGGAAAACCGAUCCGACAAUCCGAGACCGUCUAUGGAGCUCUGUGACAGCAGCAGUUUUGGAGACGACCCGAGUGGCAAAAAUAAUAGCGACCAUUGCUGCCAACAUGAGGACCACAGUCCGUGUUCGAAAGGCAGCCGCCACCCUCACUUGAACAACAAUGGCAUGAACGGUAUGUUGACUAUCACAAGAACUGAGGCUUUCCAAAGCCACCCUGUAACCGGACACAGCCCCGGUGGUAACGUUAGGAAAAGGGAAUGUGACCCCACAGAAGCCCCUCGACCACCGAGCCAGCAGCCCCCAGACUGCGAAGGCCUCGGCGAGCACCGGGCUGGAGUAGAGAGUGAACCCGACGUCAUACACCAGCCGCCGGUGUCAGAAUUAGCGAGGCUGGAUCUGAACUGUUCGCCUGACCGAGAAGCGGAAGAGAGCCAGGGGAUUCAUUAUGUCCGCUACAAGUCCGAGUUACAGAUGCCAGGAAUCAUGAGGUUGAUCACCAAGGACUUGUCUGAGCCGUAUUCCAUUUAUACAUAUAGGUACUUCAUCCACAACUGGCCUCAGCUCUGCUUUCUGGCCAUGGUGGAGCAGGAGUGUGUGGGGGCCAUUGUUUGUAAGCUGGACAUGCACAAGAAGAUGUUUCGUCGUGGCUACAUCGCCAUGCUGGCUGUAGACUCCAAACACCGGAGGAAAAGCAUUGGUACUAACCUGGUGAAGAAGGCCAUCUAUGCCAUGGUGGAGGGGGAUUGUGAUGAGGUAAGCGGACUGGUACUGUCUGUCUGAUGGUGACGUCCGAAGGCCCUGUUGUCCCUCUGGGGCCUUCACUCAGCUAGUGGCCCUGACUGUACUUGGCCUGAGGUGGUUCUGGAGACUGAGAUCACUAACAAGUCAGCUCUAAAGUUGUAUGAGAACCUUGGUUUUGUCCGAGACAAGCGGCUCUUCAGAUAUUACCUGAACGGUGUGGACGCACUGAGGCUCAAACUGUGGCUCCGCUAGAGAGAGGAGAGGGAGCAUGACAGGUGCUGCCCUCUUACUGAAGCAGCUCCAGUCUCACUCUCAACCCUGCCCUUGUCUCACACACACACACACACACACACACACACACACACACACACACACACACACACACACACACACAUAUACACACACAGUCAUACACCCAUAUGCACACACACAUCAUCAUACACCCACAAGCAUAGAUUCACCUACAUUUGCAUAUACAUAGGCACAUGCACACUACUCGUACACAGACAUACACAGUACAUACAACCCUCCCUUUUUUGAUCCUUGACAUCUUGGAAAACAGCUCAAGGCUGAACUGGACAGACAGACAGAAAUCCCACAAUGUUUUUAUGAAGAGGCCCUUGCCCUGUUAGCUGUAGGACCCUGUGAGAGGGGGAAGGAAGAGGAGUGUGUGAUGUGGUCUGGUGACCUUUAACCUCAGAACAUUGACCCCCCCCCUCCAACGGAGCAGUAUCUAAGGCAUGAUGUCGAGGGUGAACCCACAAACCUCCGGAGGGCGAUGCAUCACGCAAAAUCACCCACUGGAACACAGGAAAACAGAAGAAGAAUAAUAACACAGGGUGAAAAUAAGGAAGAGGGUGGGAAAACGACAGAUUCGAAGGAAAUAUUUGUGGAGUUUAUUUUUUGUUUAUAUUUUUUAAUCAUGAUUCACCAGGGGGUUGGAAAAGCUAAUGUGUGUGUUCGUGAGAGUGUGUGUUUUGCCUAGGGGUUUGGAAAAGGAAGUGUUCAUGCUAUUGUGUACAUGUGUAAGGGACGUGAAGUAAUGUAGUGGAUGGGUGUGUGUGUGCGCACGCAUGCUUGGUGGGAAUCAUGAGUUGUGCGUGUUAGUGUGCUUUUCUCCCCCUGUCUGUGUUUUCAUUACCCCUACAUUGUGAGACGAACACGCCAGCUGCUUGCUGCUCAGUUUUCAUCCCGUGCCCCAGACCAAGAGCUGGAGCCUGUAAAGAUAUGCAUGCAUUUAUUUUAACAAGAGUGGUGGUAUGAGUGAUGAGUGUGUGUUGAUUAACACUCGGAACAUUGCCCAGUUCCAAACAGGCCCAUAGUCCUAACUCCUAAGCACUUGUGUAGAUCUGAAAGGUAUGGAUAGGUGUAAGCAAUAUGGUGUAAAUUCUUCCUGGCCUGUCAGAGGGAAAGGUGGAGCUAUUACCAUUUUAGUAAUACCUAUUCAAUCAUUUCAGAUACACUUGGUAAGUGCUUAGAGGGGUAAGGAUGAGGGGCCGAUUUGAGAUUGGGCACUUGUGUUGGCCCUUUUUGCAGAUCAAAGCUAAUUUUCCCAAAAUGCACUGCCAGCCACUGGAACAUUGCUCAAAAAUCUCCUGAGAAAGAUAAAUCAUUAUUGACAAAGGAGAAGUUUGGGCUCGGAAAAUAUUUCCCUGUUGCAGUUUGUUCAUUCAAAUUCCUCCUAACUUGGAGAGUAUUUUUCCAAGCACCCCUCUGUCUUUCAAUCAUCACAGUUGUCUAUGAAUGAACAACAUGCAGAGCACUGGAGUCCUGUUUCAGUAUGGCAAAGUGUCAGGCUGGAGUAAUAGUGUUAUUAAAUAUGCUGGAUUCCU